rnacentral:rRNA from 1 species
GUCCACGCCGUAAACGAUGAUAACUAGCUGUCCGGGUUCAUAGAACUUGGGUGGCGCAGCUAACGCAUUAAGUUAUCCGCCUGGGGAGUACGGUAGCAAGAUUAAAACUCAAAGGAAUUGACGGGGGCCUGCACAAGCGGUGGAGCAUGUGGUUUAAUUCGAAGCAACGCGCAGAACCUUACCAGCGUUUGACAUCCCGAUCGCGAUUACCAGAGAUGGUUUUCUUCAGUUAGGCUGGAUCGGUGACAGGUGCUGCAUGGCUGUCGU